AUAAAGUUUUAUUCUUGCUUAAUAAUUUAUUAUUAAUUUAUUUUACAUGUAAAUUUUUGUGUGAAUUGUAUUAUAUUUUAAAAAUAUAAUAUUUUAUUUUAUUCGCAGUAAUUAAUAUUAUAAAUUUAAAGAAAUUUAGAAAUAGUAAUUUUAUUUAGUAUUAACAAAUUUUGUGCCAGCAGUUGCGGUUAUACAAAAAAUAUAAAUAAAUUUUAUUAGAUGUAGUUAAAUGUAUUAAUUUUAAAUUAAAAAUAAAUUUAUUAGGUGAAAUUUUAAAUUUAUAAUAAUUUAAUUUAUUAAAAUAAUUGAAGCUAAGAAAUUUUAAUAAUAAACUAGGAUUAGAUACCCUAUUAUUUAAAAUAUAAUUUUAAAGUCUUGAGUAGUAAUAGUUAUGGUCUUGAAACUUAAAGAAUUUGGCGGUAUUUUAGUCUAUUCAGAGGAACCUGUCCUAUAAUCGAUAGUCCACGUUGAAUCUUACUUAAAUUUGUUUAUCAAUUUGUAUAUCGCCGUUAUCAGAAUAUUUUAGAAGAAUAAUAAUUUUCUAAAUUUUUAAUUAAAUAAUGAUGUCAGGUCAAGGUGCAGUUUAUGUUUAAGUAGAGAUGGGUUACAAUAAAUUUAUUUAUUAUGGAAAUGUAAUUGAAAUAUUUCAUUGAAGGUGGAUUUGAUAGUAAAAUUAUAUAGAUAAUUAAUUUGAUUAUAGCUCUAAAAUAUGCACAUAUCGCCCGUCGCUCUUAUUAUUAAGAUAAGAUAAGUCGUAACAUAGUAGAUGUACUGGAAAGUGUAUCUAGAAUGAC
rnacentral:ncRNA from 1 species